rnacentral:lncRNA from 1 species
CUUUAUACAAUUUAAUGCUUAUACAAUUUAUACAAAUUCGAUACAAAUUUGUUUCUUUCAUACUGAACUCUGAGCUAGACUGCUUCAGGGUACUGCUAUCUCUGGUCUCGGUGGUAGGGCGCUAUCUACGAAGCUACGCCCAGUCCUCGCGCCGCCGCACCGCUCACGUGCGAACCUGUACCCCCAAAACAACAUGGGGGUGAGAACUAUAUAAAUAGUUCCCAGUGGGUACGGCCACCCAAGAGAAGAGCUCGACCCACCAGGUCCAAAGGAGGCAACUGCAGGUUAGUAAACUGAACAGAUAGAUAGAUAUUCGAUGAUACAAUUAAUAAAACCAUACCUUGCCUCGCGAUAUGCAAUAUGUAAAUCAUGCAACUAUGUAACAAGUAGAUCUACUGAUCCUACUUUAUAUCUUUAACCAUUCUUUACUUGUAGCCGUUCUUUAUUAGCUGUUUACGUUCAUUAGCUAUUCUUUAUUCUUAUUCUUUAUUCUUAUUCUUUAUUCAUAUCGUGCUCACCGGCGAUUCUUUCCUAAGGUUACUUUACCUUAGU